rnacentral:rRNA from 1 species
AUGAUCAGCACCAGGAAGGAUAGAUCAAUUGCAGCUUUUAUCCAGAAGCUAAACCAGCAUAUUCGACGACAGGAGAACCAGAUGUGCGCCGACAUGAUAGAUCUGAAGAAGGCUAAGACUAGAAUCAAGGAACUGGAGGAAGAACUCAAGGCUACACGUGAAGAUUAUAAAGAGGAAAGUGAAGUAUUGGUGAAAAAGAAUAACGACCUGAUCAAGAAGAUUGGAAUAUUUAUGAGAGGCCCAACACCCGUAGAUGAAGACGAAGAACCCAAGGAGAUUAGCCCGGAAGACUACAUCAUCAUCGACGGCACCGACUCGGAAGCAGAUAGUAGCGAUGAUGACUAUGUUGAUGAAGCAGGAGCAGAUAUUAUGGAGUCAACGACCGUAGAAUAUUUCUAA